GGCACUAGGUGUGGGGCUCAUUCCACGAGUUCCGCGCCGCAGCUAACGCAUUAAGUGCCCCGCCUGGGGAGUACGGCCGCAAGGCUAAAACUCAAAGGAAUUGACGGGGGCCCGCACAAGCGGCGGAGCAUGCGGAUUAAUUCGAUGCAACGCGAAGAACCUUACCAAGGCUUGACAUACACCGGAAUCAUGCAGAGAUGUGUGCGUCUUCGGACUGGUGUACAGGUGGUGCAUGGUUGUCGUCAGCUCGUGUCGUGAGAUGUUGGGUUAAGUCCCGCAACGAGCGCAACCCUCGUCCUAUGUUGCCAGCACGUUAUGGUGGGGACUCAUAGGAGACUGCCGGGGUCAACUCGGAGGAAGGUGGGGAUGACGUCAAAUCAUCAUGCCCCUUAUGUCUUGGGCUUCACGCAUGCUACAAUGGCCGGUACAAAGGGCUGCGAUACCGCGAGGUGGAGCGAAUCCCAAAAAGCCGGUCUCAGUUCGGAUUGGGGUCUGCAACUCGACCCCAUGAAGUCGGAGUCGCUAGUAAUCGCAGAUCAGCAACGCUGCGGUGAAUACGUUCCCGGGCCUUGUACACACCGCCCGUCAAGUCACGAAAGUCGGUAACACCCGAAGCCGGUGGCCUAACCCCUUGUGGGAUGGAGCCGUCGAAGGUGGGA
rnacentral:rRNA from 1 species